AUUGAACGCUGGCGGCAUGCUUUACACAUGCAAGUCGAACGGUAACAGAUUAAGCUGACGAGUGGCGAACGGGUGAGUAAUGCAUCGGAACGUGCCCGAUCGUGGGGGAUAACACUUCGAAAGAAGUGCUAAUACCGCAUACGAUCUGAGGAUGAAAGCGGGGGACCAUAAGGCCUCGCGCGAUCGGAGCGGCCGAUGUCAGCUGAGGUAGUUGGUGGGGUAAAGGCUCACCAAGCCGACGAUCUGUAGCUGGUCUGAGAGGACGACCAGCCCCACUGGGACUGAGACACGGCCCAGACUCCUACGGGAGGCAGCAGUGGGGAAUUUUGGACAAUGGGCGCAAGCCUGAUCCAGCAAUGCCGCGUGCGGGAAGAAGGCCUUCGGGUUGUAAACUGCUUUUGUACGGAGCGAAAAGGCUCCCUCUAAUACAGGGGGCUUAUGACGGUACCGUAAGAAUAAGCACCGGCUAACUACGUGCCAGCAGCCGCUGUAACAC
rnacentral:rRNA from 1 species